UACGUAGGGUGCGAGCGUUAAUUGGAAUUACUGGGCGUAAAGCGUGCGCAGGCGGUUUUGUAAGUCAGAUGUGAAAUCCCCGGGCUUAACCUGGGAACUGCGUUUGAAACUACAAGGCUAGAGUGUGGCAGAGGGGGGUGGAAUUCCACGUGUAGCAGUGAAAUGCGUAGAGAUGUGGAGGAACACCGAUGGCGAAGGCAGCCCCCUGGGUUAACACUGACGCUCAGGCACGAAAGCUAGGGGAGCAAACAGG
rnacentral:rRNA from 1 species